rnacentral:rRNA from 1 species
UAGGGAAUCUUCCGCAAUGGACGAAAGUCUGACGGAGCAACGCCGCGUGAGCGAUGAAGGCCUUCGGGUCGUAAAGCUCUGUUGUUAGGGAAGAAUAAGUGCUAGUUGAAUAAGCUGGCACCUUGACGGUACCUAACCAGAAAGCCACGGCUAACUACGUGCCAGCAGCCGCGGUAAUACGUAGGUGGCAAGCGUUGUCCGGAAUUAUUGGGCGUAAAGCGCGCGCAGGCGGUUUCUUAAGUCUGAUGUGAAAGCCCCCGGCUCAACCGGGGAGGGUCAUUGGAAACUGGGAAACUUGAGUGCAGAAGAGGAAAGUGGAAUUCCAAGUGUAGCGGUGAAAUGCGUAGAGAUUUGGAGGAACACCAGUGGCGAAGGCGACUUUCUGGUCUGUAACUGACGCUGAGGCGCGAAAGCGUGGGGAGCAAACAGGAUUAGAUACCCUGGUAGUCCACGCUGUAAACGAUGAGUGCUAAGUGUUAGAGGGUUUCCGCCCUUUAGUGCUGAAGUUAACGCAUUAAGCACUCCGCCUGGGGAGUACGGUCGCAAGACUGAAACUCAAAGGAAUUGACGGGGGCCCGCACAAGUGGUGGAGCAUGUGGUUUAAUUCGAAGCAACGCGAAGAACCUUACCAGGUCUUGACAUCCUCUGACAACCCUAGAGAUAGGGCUUUCCCUUCGGGGACAGAGUGACAGGUGGUGCAUGGUUGUCGUCAGCUCGUGUCGUGAGAUGUUGGGUUAAGUCCCGCAACGAGCGCAACCCUUGAUCUUAGUUGCCAGCAUUUAGUUGGGCACUCUAAGGUGACUGCCGGUGACAAACCGGAGGAAGGUGGGGAUGACGUCAAAUCAUCAUGCCCCUUAUGACCUGGGCUACACACGUGCUACAAUGGAUAG